rnacentral:rRNA from 1 species
GAGAGUUUGAUCCUGGCUCAGGACGAACGCUGGCGGCGUGCUUAACACAUGCAAGUCGAGCGAUGAAGCUUCCUUCGGGAAGUGGAUUAGCGGCGGACGGGUGAGUAACACGUGGGUAACCUGCCUCAAAGUGGGGGAUAGCCUUCCGAAAGGAAGAUUAAUACCGCAUAAUAUAAGAGAAUCGCAUGAUUUUCUUAUCAAAGAUUUAUUGCUUUGAGAUGGACCCGCGGCGCAUUAGCUAGUUGGUAAGGUAACGGCUUACCAAGGCAACGAUGCGUAGCCGACCUGAGAGGGUGAUCGGCCACAUUGGAACUGAGACACGGUCCAGACUCCUACGGGAGGCAGCAGUGGGGAAUAUUGCGCAAUGGGGGAGACCCUGACGCAGCAACGCCGCGUGGGUGAUGAAGGUCUUCGGAUUGUAAAGCCCUGUUUUCUAGGACGAUAAUGACGGUACUAGAGGAGGAAGCCACGGCUAACUACGUGCCAGCAGCCGCGGUAAUACGUAGGUGGCGAGCGUUGUCCGGAUUUACUGGGCGUAAAGGGUGCGUAGGCGGAUGUUUAAGUGGGAUGUGAAAUCCCCGGGCUUAACCUGGGGGCUGCAUUCCAAACUGGAUAUCUAGAGUGCAGGAGAGGAAAGCGGAAUUCCUAGUGUAGCGGUGAAAUGCGUAGAGAUUAGGAAGAACACCAGUGGCGAAGGCGGCUUUCUGGACUGUAACUGACGCUGAGGCACGAAAGCGUGGGUAGCAAACAGGAUUAGAUACCCUGGUAGUCCACGCCGUAAACGAUGGAUACUAGGUGUAGGGGGUAUCAACUCCCCCUGUGCCGCAGUUAACACAAUAAGUAUCCCGCCUGGGGAGUACGGUCGCAAGAUUAAAACUCAAAGGAAUUGACGGGGGCCCGCACAAGCAGCGGAGCAUGUGGUUUAAUUCGAAGCAACGCGAAGAACCUUACCUGGACUUGACAUCCCUUGCAUAGCCUAGAGAUAGGUGAAGCCCUUCGGGGCAAGGAGACAGGUGGUGCAUGGUUGUCGUCAGCUCGUGUCGUGAGAUGUUAGGUUAAGUCCUGCAACGAGCGCAACCCUUGUUAUUAGUUGCUACCAUUAAGUUGAGCACUCUAAUGAGACUGCCUGGGUAACCAGGAGGAAGGUGGGGAUGACGUCAAAUCAUCAUGCCCCUUAUGUCCAGGGCUACACACGUGCUACAAUGGUAGGUACAAUAAGACGCAAGACCGUGAGGUGGAGCAAAACUUAUAAAACCUAUCUCAGUUCGGAUUGUAGGCUGCAACUCGCCUACAUGAAGCUGGAGUUGCUAGUAAUCGCGAAUCAGAAUGUCGCGGUGAAUACGUUCCCGGGCCUUGUACACACCGCCCCGUCACACCAUGAGAGCUGGUAACACCCGAAGUCCGUGAGGUAACCGUAAGGAGCCAGCGGCCGAAGGUGGGAUUAGUGAUUGGGGUGAAGUCGUAACAAGGUAGCCGUAGGAGAACCUGCGGCUGGAUCACCUCC